GUUAAUGAAGAUUUAUAUUCCAACUCCAUUGUCUUCAUUCAUUUCGACAUAGCCCAAACAACCUCAUUCCUCUCGACACGUUCUUUGAAAAUGGCCAUUGAUUGCUGAAAUCUCUUCUACAAACAGUCACUCAUCUCCCGCUUACUGAUAUUCGAAGAAUCAUAGUAGCGAAAAUAAUUGGAUUCUCCUUUUUGCGACUCUUUCAAAGGAGAAAGAAACACAACGACCUAUUUGCCCUAAUUCGAUAUUCGAAAUGAACCGUUCAAUGGAAUUCAAGGUCUUCUUCCUCACACAUUCCUCUGAGAUUUCGAAUGCAACCAUGGCUAUUUAAUUGUCAAAUUUUCGAAGCGAAAAGAACUGUCAGUAUUUGUUCGUUUGUCCUUGUUGGCGCAAUAUUUUCGGAGGAGACGACUUUGUCGAGGAGCUCUUCUAGUUGACUACUGAACUUGUUUUGGCUAUCUCAAGCGUCGUGUUUGAUUUUCACGAGCAGCGAUAGCAGACGGGCUCUAGGGCUACAAAGGUGGUGACUUGGAGAUAUUAGAUGUGACACUGUCAUAGAUAUGGUUCAUAGUCAUGUGUAUUGCAGGGCUUGUGAUGUAUUGUUAGAUUAGUUUUGAUAUAUUUUACACCUUAUUAGCUAGUGAAUUCCUUGGGAUUUGGUUGGAUAUUGUAUAUAUGCUUGUUUUGGUUGAUUAGUAUUUUGACAUGGUAUUAGUCUUACUUAGUUUUGUUAUUAGUUUAAUACUAGUGGAAAAAAAUCUUAUAUGCUGCGGUUUUAUCCCCGUUAUAUGUUGCGGUUUUAACCCGCAACACUAAAAUUGCAGCAUAUUUUUUUUUGUUUUUUCUUUUUAUAUUAAUUCGCCACUAAAUAUUAAUAGCUAUAUAUAUAAUAAUUAUUACAUUAAUGAUCAUUCAAUAUUUCCUCAAUCAU